ensembl:misc_RNA
CUGGCAGCCCUGCAGCUUCUUCUGUACACCCUCAGUGCAGCUGCACCGCAGGUAGUGACAGGGCCAGCAUCCCCACACCGCCCCCACCACAUGCGUCGCCCUGACUUGGAGAGGCCACCUCUAGAGGGGAGAGAAGUGUUUGAAUCCAUCCCUUCUCUGUUAAGA